UGCAACACCUGGAGCAACUGCUGCGGCUGUCCACGCGCAGCAACUGCGUUCGUGAGACGGUCCACACCCUUCUCCAACUCACCUUGAGCUACUAACUCUUCACCAACCUGCGUUUCUUCAAGGGAGAAUUUCUGAGCAGCCUCAGCAUCUUCAAGAUCUGAACACGGAGUGUAGACGGCAGCGGCUUGGCGGGGACAGCGAAGGAAGAAGCGAUUGGCCGCCAACCCUCCUCAGAGCGGGCAGAGCGGCUCAGUCCCCGACGCCCGCCAGCCUGGGACUCAGAAAAGCUAAAGUUUUAAUGUGAUCCCCAUAAAAACACUUUUCUCUGGAACUAGACAAGCUGAUGUGAAAUACAAUUCCUAUGGAAAAACAAACAUCCUGGGAUAUCUGGGAAAAUAUAGCAAAGUCAGAGCUACAAAGAGCCACACCAGCUUUAAAAAUAUAAUGUGAGGCCUCAGAAAUUAAAACCAUAUGAUGUUCAUGUAGGUUCCUGUAGGAAGAAAAAAAA